UACAGAGGGGGCGAGCGUUGUUCGGAAUUACUGGGCGUAAAGGGCGCGUAGGCGGCCAACUAAGUCAGACGUGAAAUCCCUCGGCUCAACCGGGGAACUGCGUCUGAUACUGGAUGGCUUGAAUUCGGGAGAGGGAUGCGGAAUUCCAGGUGUAGCGGUGAAAUGCGUAGAUAUCUGGAGGAACACCGGGUGGCGAAGGCGGUUCUCUGGGCAUUACCUGACGCUGAGGAGCGAAAGCAUGGGGAGCGAACAGG
rnacentral:rRNA from 1 species